UAAAAUGGAUCUUCCAUAUUAAACCCGUUUAUCUUCUUAGCCAUUGUAGCCUUCGAUUUUUCUCCUCUACCAUUAGCUUCAACUAAAGCUUUUUCUUUUUCUUCUUCUUCUUCUUCUUUUUCUUCUUCCUCAAUCUUCUUUAUCUUGUAUAGUUCAUCUUUAAAUUAGAGUGUAUUAUCAAUUUUGAAACCUUUCUCUGAUUUUUUGCCUAAAAUUGAAAAUGUAUGGUUCUUGUCUAAUGCGUAAUUUUAAGCAUAUUUGUCUCUGUGGUAAAGAAGUUGUGCUUGUAAUUUCAGGGAGCAUCGAUAGUCCUGGUCGUCAUUUUUAUGGGUGUAGAUUGUACGAGGUAAGGUUAGUCAUAAAAAUCUGGUUUAAUUAACUUUUUUGAGUUUUUACACUGAAAUCUUCUUAUUUCAAAAAGGAUCGUGGUACGAGGCGUAAAGUUUUUGUAUGGUUUGAUCCUCCUACUCAGGAGAACUUAAAAGGUGUUAUCCUGGGCUGCUUAAAAAGAAAAAGGCGUUGGAAGCAUUCAUGAAGGCAAGUAAAAAUCAAAGAAAUUGAAGGUGAUUGAUAAUUUUGGGGUUAAUCGUAAAUUAUAUUCAAAGUGAUUAUGUUUGGAAACAAAGACUAUUUCAUAAUGUAAAAACCUGUAAAAUGGUCUAUGAACCACCGAUCUUAGUUUUUAGAUCGUUUUCACCCUUGUUGCAAGUGUAACCCUUUUGCUGCUUAUUGAAGUAUAAUAUCUUAUGUUAAUUAAAGAAGUUUAUUCUGUCAUAACUUUG
rnacentral:lncRNA from 1 species